GAUCUACACUUGUCCAGGAUGAAGUUCCGGUAACACGGAAUGGAGGUCCGCACCAAUAAGCGUUGAAAAGCUUCUGGAUGAGGUGAGUGUAGGAGUGAAAGGCCAAUCAAACCCGGAGAUAGCUCGUACUCCCCGAAAGGCAUUUAGGUGCCGCCUGUGACGUUUCCCUUGUGAGGUAGAGCGACUGAUAGGAUGCGAGGGCUUCACCGCCUGUCAAGUCCUGACAAACUCCGAAUGCUCAAGGGUGAAGUCAUGGAGUAAGGGCAUGGGUGCUAAGGUCCGUGCCCGAGAGGAGAAGAAUCCAGACCACCGGCUAAGGUCCCGAAAUACUGGUUAAGUUAGACUAACGUGGUCCGGCCCCCCAGACAGCUAGGAUGUUGGCUUGGAAGCAGCCAUUCAUUCAAAGAGUGCGUAACAGCUCACUAGUCGAGGAGCCGGGCGUGGAUAAUAAUCGGGUAUAAAACCAGCUACCGAAGCCGUGGGAUGCAUUAAGCAUCGGUAGGGGAGCAUUCCAUUCGGCGUCGAAGGCGGGGCGUGAGCCCCUCUGGAGCGUAUGGAAAAGCAAAUGCAGGUAUAAGUAACGAUAAGGGGGGUGAGAUGCCCCCCCGCCGAAAGACCAAGGUUUCCUGAACAACGCUAAUCGGUUCAGGUUCAGUCGGUCCCUAAGGAUAAGCCUAACGGCGAGGCCGAUGGAAAAACGGUUAAUAUUCCGUUACUUACAUGACGUGUGACGCGGUGACGCAGUGGUGACACGGCCGCCGCCUGACGGAACAGGCGGUUGAAGGGCGUAUGCUAUGAGAGGGGCAGGCAAAUCCACCCCUUGAGCUGAACCCCGAGAGUACGGUGCGUCCUUCGGGACAAUCCGACAGUGCCGGUAAUCUGGCUGCCAAGAAAACCCGCUAAACUUCAGCGUCAUGUAAUCCGUACCGUAAACGGACACACGUGGUCGGGUUGAAUAUACUAAGGCGCUUGGGAGAUUCACGGUUAAGGAACUAGGCAAAUUGACCCCGUACCUUCGGAAUAAGGGGUCCUCAAGCAAUUGAGGCGCAGAGAAUAGGUCCAGGCAACUGUUUAACAAAAACACAGGACUGUGCAAACUCGAAAGAUGAGGUAUACAGUCUGACACCUGCCCGGUGCCGGAAGGUUAAGAGGAGAUGUCACCGCAAGGGAAGCAUUGAAUUGAAGCCCCGGUAAACGGCGGCCGUAACUAUAACGGUCCUAAGGUAGCGAAAUUCCUUGUCGGGUAAGUUCCGACCUGCACGAAUGGUGUAAUGAUCCGGACACUGUCUCAACCGUGAUCCCAGUGAAAUUGUAGUAUCGGUGAAGAUGCCGAUUACCCGCGAUGGGACGAAAAGACCCCGUGAACCUUUACUACAGCUUAACGUUGUAUUCGGGCAUCCGAUGUGUAGGAUAGGCCGGAGACUGUGAAUCGUGUACGCCAGUAUGCGUGGAGUCGCUGUUGAAAUACGGCCCUUUGGCUGUCUGAAUCCUAACUUGCGAUAUGCAAGGACCGCGUUUGGCGGGUAGUUUGACUGGGGUGGUCGCCUCCAAAAGUGUAACGGAGGCUCCUAAAGGUGCCCUCAGGCCGAUUGGUAACCGGCCGCAGAGUGUAAUGGCAGAAGGGCGCUUGACUGUGAGGCCGACAGGCCGCCCAGGCAGGAAACUGGAGCAUAGUGAUCCGGCGGUUCCGUAUGGAAGGUCCGUCGCUCAAAGGAUAAAAGGUACUCCGGGGAUAACAGGCUGAUCCCUCCCAAGAGCUCAUAUCGACGGAGUGGUUUGGCACCUCGAUGUCGGCUCGUCACAUCCCGGGGCUGGAGAAGGUCCCAAGGGUUGGGCUG
rnacentral:rRNA from 1 species